rnacentral:rRNA from 1 species
UGGGGAAUAUUGCACAAUGGAGGAAACUCUGAUGCAGCAACGCCGCGUGAGGGAAGAAGGUUUUCGGAUUGUAAACCUCUGUCCUCAGGGACGAUAAUGACGGUACCUGAGGAGGAAGCUCCGGCUAACUACGUGCCAGCAGCCGCGGUAAUACGUAGGGAGCAAGCGUUGUCCGGAUUUACUGGGUGUAAAGGGUGCGUAGGCGGCUCUGCAAGUCAGGUGUGAAAACUAUGGGCUUAACCCAUAGACUGCAUUUGAAACUGUGGGGCUUGAGUGAAGUAGAGGCAGGCGGAAUUCCCGGUGUAGCGGUGAAAUGCGUAGAGAUCGGGAGGAACACCAGUGGCGAAGGCGGCCUGCUGGGCUUUAACUGACGCUGAGGCACGAAAGCAUGGGUAGCAAACAGGAUUAGAUACCCUGGUAGUCCACGCCGUAAACGAUGAAUGCUAGGUGUAGGAGGUAUCGACCCCUCCUGUGCCGGAGUUAACGCAAUAAGUAUCCCGCCUGGGGAGUACGGCCGCAAGGCUG